UGGGGAAUAUUGGACAAUGGGGGGAACCCUGAUCCAGCGAUGCCGCGUGGGUGAAGAAGGCCUUCGGGUUGUAAAGCCCUUUAAGAUGGGAAGAAGCAAUGUGGAAGAAUACGUCAUGUUGUUGACGGUGCCGUCAGAAUAAGCACCGGCAAACUCUGUGCCAGCAGCCGCGGUAAUACAGAGGGUGCGAGCGUUAAUCGGAAUUACUGGGCGUAAAGGGCGCGUAGGCGGUUAUAAGAGUGUGAUGUGAAAUCCCUGGGCUUAACCUAGGAAGUGCGUCGCAAACGAUAUGACUGGAGUAUUGGAGAGGGUAGCGGAAUUUCCGGUGUAGCGGUGAAAUGCGUAGAGAUCGGAAGGAACGUCAAUGGCGAAGGCAGCUACCUGGCCAAAUACUGACGCUGAGGCGCGAAAGCGUGGGGAGCAAACAGG
rnacentral:rRNA from 1 species